rnacentral:rRNA from 1 species
UGGGUAACCUGCCUCAAAGAGGGGAAUAGCCUCCCGAAAAGGGAGAUUAAUACCGCAUAAUAUGUUUAGGUCGCAUGACUUUAACAUCAAAGGAUUUUUCUUUUAAGAAAUUCCACUUUGAGAUGGACCCGCGGCGCAUUAGCUAGUUGGUGAGGUAACGGCUCACCAAGGCAACGAUGCGUAGCCGACCUGAGAGGGUGAUCGGCCACAUUGGAACUGAGACACGGUCCAGACCUCCGUAGGGACGG